CGCCUGGGAGUACGACCGCAAGGUUAAACUCAAAUGAAUUGACGGGACCCGCACAAGUAGUGGAGCAUGUGGUUUAAUUCGAAGAUACGCGCAGAACCUUACCAACACUUGACAUGUUCGUCGCGACUCUAAGAGAUUAGAGUUUCGGUUCGGCCGGACUAAACACAGGUGCUGCAUGGCUGUCGUCAGCUCGUGUCCGUGAGAUGUUGGGUUAAGUCCCGCAACGAGCGCAACCCUCACUUUUAGUUGCCAUCAUUAAGUUGGGCACUCUGAAAGAACUGCCAGUGAUAAGCUGGAGGAAGGUGGGGAUGACGUCAAGUCCUCAUGGCCCUUACGUGUUGGGCUACACACGUGCUACAAUGGCAUCUACAACAGGAAGCAAAACGGCAACGUUAAGCAAAUCCCGAAAAGAUGCCUCAGUUCGGAUUGCACUCUGCAACUCGAGUGCAUGAAGCUGGAAUUACUAGUAAUCGUGGAUCAGCGUGCCACGGUGAAUGCGUUUCCGGGUCUU
rnacentral:rRNA from 1 species